GACUAUUACACCAACUGAAGCUUAGGAAGGAAUGGAAAGAGAGGAAGCUUGGAGAGCUAAUGGAAAGAAAUGCGUAAGAAAUAACAGAUCUGCGAUAGAAGUCGAAUACGAUUAAGUAACUAGGGGCAAGACACAGACUUUAGAGCGUCAAGUCAUACACAAACCGGAGUGACUUCACUACCUGAAGAAAGAAAGCUGCUUCGGCAGGGUCGAAGAAGACGUGUAAGACACCG
rnacentral:lncRNA from 1 species